rnacentral:lncRNA from 1 species
ACUUUCCCUAAUUCCCCUGUGCCCAAUGAGAAGCAGAGAGAGAGAGAGAGGCAGAAACACAGGCAGAGGGAGAAGCAGGCUCCUCGAAGGAAGCCUAAUAGGGUACUUGACACCAGGACCCCAGGAUCACCCCUUGAACUGAAGGCAGAUGCUCAACCGCUGAGCCACCCAAGCAUCCCUUCAUCCUUUCUUAUAUUUUGUUGUGUAUGUACAUACAUGUCUCUGUCUGUGUGUGUAUUUCUCACCAUUAGUCCUUUUACUGUAGUAUUCUAAGUAAUCUCUUAAAGAAUGAAACUCAUCUGCUAGUUUAUUUUAAAAGAAAAGUUUAUGCAUAUGUAGAAUUUUCUAUGUUUUGUAUGUUAAAAGUUUUUUCUAGACCCUUGAUGCUUGAAAAAUAGGUUUGAUAUAAAAUCUUUGGCUAACAUAUUUUUUUGAAUUUUUUAAAAAACAUCUUUCCUAUUACUGCCUUGCUUUGUAUGAUGCUUUUGAAAAUCAUGACACCAGUAUAAUUCUUUUGCUGUUUUUAAUAUUUGAUUUUUAUUUUAUCUUUGAAGUCUAAUAGUUCUAUAAGGAUACAUGUUGGAGUUGAACAUUCUAACUUUAUUUUCCUAUGUACCUUAUAGGAACCUCUCAUUUGUAGAUUCGGGGAUUAUUUUAUUUCUGGAAAUUUUUCUUAGAUUACAGCUUUAAGUAUGAGUUCUGCUACAUUAUUCUAUACUUUUCUUCAGAGAUACUCAUUUUAUAAAUGUUAUCCUUCCUUUCUAUACCUUCCAUUUCCACCACUUUUUCUCUUAAAAAAAAAACAAACUAUUUCCUUUAUCACAUUUACAUUCUCUUGAUUGUUUAACUUCCUUCAAAGUUCCUUGCAAAAUUAUUGAGUGCAUCUAUUCUCUGAUGCACACUUGGUAACUUAGUCUUCAUACAUAGGAGAAUGUUCCUGAUUUCUUCCAUUUUUGUGCUUAUUUAGCCUAUAGUUCUUGCAUUUCUGAUUCAAAACUGUAUUUGUAUCCCUAAAUAUUUGUUCUAAUAUAUUUAAUUCAGUUUGGAAUGUUGUCUUAUAGGUUUCUUCUAUUUCAUAAUUUUAGAGUAGGAGUAAAAUUUUAAUUAAUUCGGUGUGUAGGAUCACAUUUUAUGAUUUUUUUGUAGUAACUCUGUAUGGAUCUAGUUAUUAGUUUCUUAUGACAUUGGGGAAAGAUUCCUAGUUUGAUAACAUCCUCUUCUAUCAGUCUAAAUAUUUAUGCAGACUUUUAUUUUUUUGACAAAGAAUAAAGUUGUGUGUAUUUCAAUACUUUGUUCCCCUUUAUUUUGCAGGAUGUAAGUUUCACCCUUUGCUGCUUUUUCUCUUUGACACUUAGUUUCUAAAAAAAUGCUUCUUCUUUAUAUUUGUCUUUUUCUUCAUUAAAAUCUAUGUGUCUAUUAUUGCUUUGUAUCAUGAAUAUUUCAAAGUCCCUUUUCUGUAGUUUUUCUUUGACUUACCAAGACAUUUUUAAAAGGGUUUAGAUUCUAUUUUAUUUAUUAAAUUCAAUUAGUCAACAUAUAGAACACCAUGAUAUUUUAAAAAUAUUUUCAUACUGGGCAGUUGGGUGGUACAGUUGGUAAGGUGUCCGACUCUUGGUUUCAGCUCAGAUCAUGAUCUCAGGGUCAUGAGAUCCAGCCCACAUCACCACUUCUGCAUGAGAUCAUUCACUGGGGUUUGGUUUUCUUUAUUUACAGUGAUAUUAAAGUUUGGCACUCUGUCUCAAGCUAUACUGAAAGUGCUGUUUUUGUGUAAUUUUACUUUUUUCUUAAUGCUAUUGUGUAUUAUUUAUGGAGGAAAUAUUGAGAGAUGCAUAACUUGGCUGCCUCUAUUUUCUCACCUAUUUACAUCUCUAUUUUAAUUCUUGCCUGCCUAUAAUGAUUUGCACAUACAGAGGAAUCUUUGAAAAAGUAUAAAAUAUUUACCAAUUGGAGUUACUGGUAUGCUUAACUGAUGACAAAUUAGAGUAAAAUACAUUUCAGUGGGCUUUCUAAUGUUUUGCUUUUAGCUUAAUAAAUGUGAGUGUUAUUAUUAUUAUUUAUUAUUAUUAUUAUUAUUUGUUGUUGUUUUGUUGUUGUUGUUGUUGUUAAGGCUAAUUUCUUCGGCACAUAGGUUGGUUCCUGACAGUAGUAAAGGUGGUGGGCUGCCUAUUCAGAUUUUUGUUUUUUGUUUUCUUUUUCCAUGUCUGUUGAGUACUGAUUUUUGUUCUGGUCUUCACCAUUUCCCCUUGUGAACUAUAGAAAUAAUGAUUGCCUUAGGCUAAACAG